rnacentral:lncRNA from 1 species
GGGGGGGACGAGAAGAGGGCCAGUUUGAGAGCUUGGUGAUUUUUGGUGUCUUCCUUGAUUUUCUCCUUCCUUCGUGGAUUGCAUAUACCACUACCAUUGUCUCCUUUGUGGUGUGAAACUUGAAGCAACCAAAGUGGAGAUUUGGUUUGGGGUUGAGCUGAGGUUGGGUGGUGUUCGUUUGGUUGUUUUCUGAGCUAGAAAUCAAGAUUUUUUAGGGAUUUUGGCGAUAAAUGUAAUUAACACUUAUAUUGUUGAGAAAUCUGUGAUUUUUUCGACCAAAAAUGGGUUGGGACGUGUAGAAAUCGAACAAGAAAAAUAGAGGCAAAAACUGUCCAAAUUUUGCAAAAACCAACCGGACUUGUUUCCAUGUUUUCCAGGUAAACCAAAAAUGCAGUGAACAAAUGGGGGGUGGUUCUAAACUCAGCAAAUUGAAGCACAUCAAGUAGAAUGACGUGUGACCAUCGGCGAUGGAGCUGGCAUCGACAAGUGAGAAAGUUGACGACUCGCGUGAGGGCAUGUCCAUCAGAGUCUGGCAUGUCGUCUUCAGACAUAUUGUUCUGAACGUCGAGAAAGGCCCUGUGGUGUUGUUGUAUUUCAGUUCUGGCAAUAUGAUGAAAAUUGGACGAUUUUGUUCUUCGACGUUCGGGUGUCAGGUGUCUUUUUGUAUCAUCGCGGUUACUGGAAGCUUUAGAGCAAUGGUAGUCCUAAAGCGAUGAAUUCGCAUCUCUUGAUAUUUACGAACCUUCAAAUGUGGUCUGUUCGGUAUCGUGUUCUUCAUUUUUUUACUAUUGCAGUUAAACUAUUGUGUAUGAUAGUCAUUUAUUUUUCACAUUAGAAGUAUUCGUGUGGGUGACGUUAGAAUUGGGGUUACCGUAAGGGAUAAUCAUUGCCUGUUGCUAGACCUAUGAAUUACUUGUUAAUUAUUUACCUUAAAUUCAUUGUGAAUUUAUUUCCAAUCUUUUCUACAAUGUUAGAAUUGCAUGUGACAUUAGGAAAAUUUGUUUGACUAUUCUAUUUGAAAAUUAUAUCUUAAUUGCUUGUGGUGAUUAUUUGGUAUUGAUGACAUAUGUAAACUUAAGGUAAAUGCGAAAAGUAAGAUGUGUUUUAACUGCGAUAAAUUUGGACGUAGUUGAAAAUAGAUUGUGCUAGGAACGAUAGUGAAAGGAAAGAUAAGGAGAGAGUUAAGGCAAAUGUUGUCACCAGAUCCAGUUAUGA